rnacentral:rRNA from 1 species
UACGUAGGGGGCAAGCGUUGUCCGGAAUUAUUGGGCGUAAAGAGCGCGUAGGCGGUCCGAUAAGUCGGCUGUGAAAGUCAGGGGCUCAACCCUUGAAAGCCGGCCGAUACUGUCGGACUAGAGUCCGGAAGAGGCAAGUGGAAUUCCCGGUGUAGCGGUGAAAUGCGCAGAUAUCGGGAGGAACACCAGCGGCGAAGGCGGCGCUCUGGGCCGAUACUGACGCUGAGACGCGAAAGCGUGGGGAGCAAACAGG